rnacentral:rRNA from 1 species
UGAGACUCUGUGCGCGUGCAUAUCAAUAAGCGGAGGAAAAGAAACUAACAAGGAUUCCCCUAGUAACGGCGAGUGAAGCGGGAAGAGCUCAAAUUUGAAAUCUUAAAGGGUUUCCCUUUACGAAUUGUAGUUUAAAGAAGUGUUUUCUGUUGGAGUUUCGGUAAAAGUUCUUUGGAAUAGGACAUCAUAGAGGGUGAGAAUCCCGUAUUUGACCGUUACUUUCCAGCUGUGUGAUACACUUUCAAAGAGUCGGAUUGUUUGGGAAUGCAGUCCAAGAUGGGUGGUAAAUUUCAGUCUAAAGCUAAAUAUUGGCGAGAGACCGAUAGCGAACAAGUACCGUGAGGGAAAGAUGAAAAGAACUUUGAAAAGAGAGUUAAACAGUACGUGAAAUUGUCAAAAGGGAAGCGUUUGACACCAGUGUUGUUUAGUUGAAAAUCAAUUCAAUAGUUUUUGAUUUUAAGUAGUAUUGACUUCAUCAGCUUGCUGCUUUCUUUUCCGAAAUUAUUGAAUGCACUUUUCAGUUAACAAGUCAACAUCAAUUUCUUUUGUUGUAAAAGGGUAAGAGGAAGGUGGCUUACGCUUCGGCGUAAGUGUUUAUAGCCUUUUACCUCUGCAAUCGGAGAGAUUGAGGACAGCAGCGUAGACUCCUUCGGGGUUAGAUACACUUGUGCUAAGCUAUAGCCUUGUAUAGACAACUUGUUGACUAUGCUCAGUCAUGUAGCUUACUCGCUUGUGCUAUUUUACCUACGCUUAGGAUGUUGACAGCAGUAUAGACUGU